rnacentral:rRNA from 1 species
UACAGAGGGUGCAAGCGUUAUUCGAAAUUAUUGGGCGUAAAGCGCGAGCAGGUGGUGAGGUAAGUCCUGUGUGAAAGCCUCGGGCUCAACCCGAGAUGGUCAUGGGAAACUACCUCGCUAGAGGACAAGAGGGGAGAGCGGAAUUCCCAGUGUAGUGGUGAAAUACGUAGAGAUUGGGAGGAACAUCGGCGGCGAAAGCGGCUCUCUGGCUUGCUUCCUGACACUCAUUCGCGAAAGCGUGGGGAUCAAACAGG